rnacentral:piRNA from 1 species
GCUAUGGUUCUGGUCCACUGCCUUGUC